rnacentral:rRNA from 1 species
GGUUAAGCGACUAAGCGUACACGGUGGAUGCCCUGGCAGUCAGAGGCGAUGAAGGACGUGCUAAUCUGCGAUAAGCGUCGGUAAGGUGAUAUGAACCGUUAUAACCGGCGAUUUCCGAAUGGGGAAACCCAGUGUGAUUCGUCACACUAUCAUUAACUGAAUCCAUAGGUUAAUGAGGCGAACCGGGGGAAUUGAAACAUCUAAGUACCCCGAGGAAAAGAAAUCAACCGAGAUUCCCC